AAUAGAUACCCAGGUAGUCCACGCCGUAAACGAUGAGUGCUAAGUGUUGGAGGGUUCCGCCCUUCAGUGCUGCAGCUAACGCAUUAAGCACUCCGCCUGGGGAGUACGGUCGCAAGACUGAAACUCAAAGGAAUUGACGGGGGCCCGCACAAGCGGUGGAGCAUGUGGUUUAAUUCGAAGCAACGCGAAGAACCUUACCAGGUCUUGACAUCUCCUGACCGCCCUGGAGACAGGGUCUUCCCUUCGGGGACAGGAUGACAGGUGGUGCAUGGUUGUCGUCAGCUCGUGUCGUGAGAUGUUGGGUUAAGUCCCGCAACGAGCGCAACCCUUGGUUCUAGUUGCCAGCAUUCAGUUGGGCACUCUAGAGCGACUGCCGGCGACAAGUCGGAGGAAGGUGGGGAUGACGUCAAGUCAUCAUGCCCCUUAUGACCUGGGCUACACACGUGCUACAAUGGAUGGUACAAAGGGCAGCGAAGCGGCGACGCAUUAGCGAACUCCCGACGAAAACCAUUCUCAGUUCGGU
rnacentral:rRNA from 1 species